GUUGUUUGUGAGUUACCUUGCCAAAUGAAUGUACAAUUUUUUAGCUUUUUUACUUGAAUAACUUUCAAUGAAUCUGUACUUAAGGAUUAUUUUUCAAUGUUAUAUUUCAGUGCAGAAUUAUUACAUAUGAGUGAAGGCAUUCAGUCUGGUUCUGAACACAUCUUAAAAAUGCUAAGAAAACCAUGACCAAAAACGUGUGUUGAAAUAGUAACAAUCACGUGUUUUGCUAUUUCCUGUAUCUGAUUAAUAUUUGGUAUAUUAUCAACAACAGUGACAGAGCUGGAGGGAAAAAAUAUAGAUAAAAGUUGAGAAACAAUAGAUCAAAACAAUGUCAACUAACUGUAAGUAAGCCCUCACCUUUGGGACUUUUUCUUUAUUCUGCAGUCAUUCCACAGCAUGGAGUUCAAUAUGCUCACUGCUGUAUUGCAGAGGCAGCAAUCUGUUUAUAAUGAAUCAGACAGUUCAGCUGCCAUAUCCAGAAAUUUAUUUUGAAAUUCAUGGCUGGGAAUCAACUUUUAACAGACUCACUGUGCCAAGAGGGCUCCCGGCUAAGCCCUUGGUGAUGAACAUAAAAUCCAUUUUAAAAUCUUUUGUCACCAUUCAGCCCAACGUCACCAAGAAAACCCUACAGAAUGUACACCUGCUCAUUGCUUCCAGAUUUUGCUGCCAUCUCCCAGAGGUGAGGUUUACAUAGCCAGCUGUGAGUUUGAAUAUCUCCACUGUCAGAGUUCAUAGAGUCAUAGAGUAUAGCACAGCCCAAGUUGCAAGGAACCCAUACAGACCAUUGUGUCCAAUGCCUGGCUCCACAGAGUACCACCCCAAAAUCAGUCCAUAUGUCUGAGAACAUUGUCCAGAUGCUUCUUGAACUCUGGCAAGUUCAGUGCCAUGACUACCACCCUGGGAAGGCAAUACCAGUGCCUGACCACCCUCUGGUGAAGAAUCUUUUCCUGAUAUCCAACCUGACCUUCCCCUGGCACAGCUCCAUGCCAUUCCCUUGAGUCCUGCUGCUGCUACAGAAAGCAGAGCUCAGUGCUGCCCUUCCUCUCCCUGUGAGAAGCUGCAGCCACCAUGAUGCAUCCCCUCAGCCCUUUCUUCUCCAGGCUGAAUAAACCCAGGAACCUCACCUGCUUCUCA
rnacentral:lncRNA from 1 species